UCUGGCGUCUUUGGCGUCCGAGUUGUAAUUUGAAGAAGGUAUCUUUGGGCCCGGCUCUUGUCUAUGUUCCUUGGAACAGGACGUCACAGAGGGUGAGAAUCCCGUGCGAUGAGAUGACCCGGGUCUGUGUAAAGUUCCUUCGACGAGUCGAGUUGUUUGGGAAUGCAGCUCUAAGUGGGUGGUAAAUUCCAUCUAAAGCUAAAUAUUGGCGAGAGACCGAUAGCGAACAAGUACAGUGAUGGAAAGAUGAAAAGAACUUUGAAAAGAGAGUGAAAAAGUACGUGAAAUUGUUGAAAGGGAAGGGCUUGAGAUCAGACUUGGUAUUUUGCAUGCUGCUCUCUCGGGGGCGGCCGCUGCGGUUUACCGGGCCAGCAUCGGUUUGGAGCGGCAGGAUAAUGGCGGAGGAAUGUGGCACGGCUUCUGCUGUGUGUUAUAGCCUCUGACGAUACUGCCAGCCUAGACCGAGGACUGCGGUUU
rnacentral:rRNA from 1 species